rnacentral:rRNA from 1 species
ACGGGUCCUUCGGGAUGCCGACGAGUGGCGAACGGGUGAGUAAUAUAUCGGAACGUGCCCAGUAGUGGGGGAUAACUGCUCGAAAGAGCAGCUAAUACCGCAUACGACCUGAGGGUGAAAGGGGGGGAUCGCAAGACCUCUCGCUAUUGGAGCGGCCGAUAUCAGAUUAGCUAGUUGGUGGGGUAAAGGCCUACCAAGGCAACGAUCUGUAGUUGGUCUGAGAGGACGACCAGCCACACUGGGACUGAGACACGGCCCAGACUCCUACGGGAGGCAGCAGUGGGGAAUUUUGGACAAUGGGCGCAAGCCUGAUCCAGCUAUGCCGCGUGCAGGAAGAAGGCCUUCGGGUUGUAAACUGCUUUUGUCAGGGAAGAAAUCUUCUGGGCUAAUACCCCGGGAGGAUGACGGUACCUGAAGAAUAAGCACCGGCUAACUACGUGCCAGCAGCCGCGUGUAAUACGUAGGUGCGAGCGUUAAUCGGAAUUACUGGGCGUAAAAGCGUGCGCAGCGGCUUUGCAAGACAGGAUGUGAAAUCCCCGGGGCUCAACCUGGGAACUGCCUUUGUGACUUGCAAGGCUAGAGUACCGCAGAGGGGGAUGGAAUUCGCCGUGUAGCACUGAAAUGCGGUAGAUAUGCCGGAGGGAACACCCAAUGGCGAAGGCAAUCCCCUGGGGCCUGUACUG